rnacentral:rRNA from 1 species
GUGGACCUCGGAUCAGGCAGGGUUACCCGC